UGCCCCAUGGCUGAGUUGGUUACAGCGUCCGACUGUUAUCCUUUCUCCCACCUUGGAAAGCUAUAUACAUCGGAAGGUCGUGAGUUCGAGCCUCACUGGGGCAG
rfam:Stereum hirsutum FP-91666 SS1 unplaced genomic scaffold STEHIscaffold_9, whole genome shotgun sequence.